AAUAAUUAUAUUUUCCAUAUUUAUAAUAAUAAUAAUUUAUUAAUUUAAUUAAUUUAAUUAAUUUAUUAUACCUUUUGUAUAAGGAUAAUUAAAUAUCUAAAAUUAAAAUAUUUUUUCUCGAUAUAUAAAUAAAUAAAAAUAUUUAAUUAUAUUGUUAAAUAAAAAAUUUUUAUUAAUGUUAUAUUUAGGUAUAUAUACUAACUAGUUAUAAAUUUAAUAAAUUUAAGUAAAUCUUGAAUUAUAUACUUUUUAUUUAAUUUAAAUUAUAUUAAAAUUUUAUAAUAAUUAUAUUUUUUUAUAAAAAUUGUAAUUUAAUACUAAAGUUAAAAUUUAUAAAAAAUUUAUUUAUUUUUAAAAUUAAUUAAUUAGUAGAAAAAAAAAAUAUGUUUUUUUUUAAUAAACUUUUAUUUAUAAUUUAUUUUAAUUUUAAAGUUUAUUUAUAAAAUUUUAUCAAAAUAUAAAUUUAUAAUAAUUAUAAAUUAAUUCUGCUCAAUGAUUGUAUUAAAUAGCCGAAUUUUUUCGCUAAGGUAGCAUAAUCACUUGUUUAUUAAUUGUAAACUUGAAUGAAAGAACUAAUAUAAAAAAACUUUAUAAAAUAAAUUAAUUUGAAUUUUUAAUAUUAGUGAAAAUACUAAUAAAAUUUAUUAGACGGAAAGACCCUUAAAUCUUUUCUUUAAAAAAGUUUUUUGGGAUAAAAAAAAAUAAAAAUUUUUUUUUUUUUCUUGAUUAGAACUUUAAAAAAGAAUAAAUAUAUAGAUACUUUAGGGAUAACAGGAUAAAUUUUUAUUAAAGAACUAAUUUAUAAAAAUUUUAUUACCUCGAUGUUGGUUUUAAUAACUAAAAAUUGAAAAAAAUUUUUUAGUUAGUCUGUUCGACUAUUAAAUUUUAACUUGAACUGAGUUCAAAUCGGUGAAAGCCAGAUUGGUUCUAAUCUAUAAAUUAAAUUAAUUUUUUUAGUACGAAAGGAAAAUAAAAUUUGU